GAUGAACGCUGGCGGCGUGCCUAAUACAUGCAAGUCGAGCGAACAGAUGAGGAGCUUGCUCCUUUGAAGUUAGCGGCGGACGGGUGAGUAACACGUGGGUAACCUACCUAUAAGACUGGGAUAACUUCGGGAAACCGGAGCUAAUACCGGAUAACAUUUAGAACCGCAUGGUUCUAAAGUGAAAGAUGGUUUUGCUAUCACUUAUAGAUGGACCCGCGCCGUAUUAGCUAGUUGGUAAGGUAACGGCUUACCAAGGCGACGAUACGUAGCCGACCUGAGAGGGUGAUCGGCCACACUGGAACUGAGACACGGUCCAGACUCCUACGGGAGGCAGCAGUAGGGAAUCUUCCGCAAUGGGCGAAAGCCUGACGGAGCAACGCCGCGUGAGUGAUGAAGGGUUUCGGCUCGUAAAACUCUGUUAUUAGGGAAGAACAAAUGUGUAAGUAACUGUGCACAUCUUGACGGUACCUAAUCAGAAAGCCACGGCUAACUACGUG
rnacentral:rRNA from 1 species